GGAGAGGUGACUGAGUGGCUAAAGGUGGCAGACUGUAAAUCUGUUGGUUAAUCCUACAUAGGUUCGAAUCCUAUUCUCUCUA
rnacentral:tRNA from 1 species